AGUGAACGCUGGCGGUAGGCCUAACACAUGCAAGUCGAACGGCAGCACAGUAAGAGCUUGCUCUUACGGGUGGCGAGUGGCGGACGGGUGAGGAAUACAUCGGAAUCUACUUUUUCGUGGGGGAUAACGUAGGGAAACUUACGCUAAUACCGCAUACGACCUACGGGUGAAAGCAGGGGAUCUUCGGACCUUGCGCGAUUGAAUGAGCCGAUGUCGGAGUAGCUAGUUGGCGGGGUAAUGGCCCACCAAGGCGACGAUCCGUAGCUGGUCUGAGAGGAUGAUCAGCCGCAUGGGAACUGAGACACGGUCCAGAGGCCUACGGGAGGGAGCAGUGGGGAAUAUUGGACAAUGGGCGCAAGCCUGAUCCAGCCAUACCGCGUGGGUGAAGAAGGCCUUCGGGUUGUAAAGCCCUUUUGUUGGGAAAGAAAAGCAGCAGGUUAAUACCCCGCUGUUCUGACGGUACCCAAAGAAUAAGCACCGGCUAACUUCGUG
rnacentral:rRNA from 1 species